rnacentral:rRNA from 1 species
AACGAACGCUGGCGGCAGGCUUAACACAUGCAAGUCGAGCGCCCCGCAAGGGGAGCGGCAGACGGGUGAGUAACGCGUGGGAAUCUACCCAUCUCUACGGAAUAACGCAUGGAAACGUGUGCUAAUACCGUAUACGUCCUUCGGGAGAAAGAUUUAUCGGAGAUGGAUGAGCCCGCGUUGGAUUAGCUAGUUGGUGGGGUAAAGGCCUACCAAGGCGACGCUCCAUAGCUGGUCUGAGAGGAUGAUCAGCCACACUGGGACUGAGAAACGGCCCAGACUCCUACGGGAGGCAGCAGUGGGGAAUAUUGGACAAUUGGCGCAAGCCUGAGCCAGCCAGGCCGCGUGAGUGAUGAAGGCCCUAGGGUUGUAAAGCUCUUUCACCGGUGAAGAUAAUGACGGUAACUGGAGAAGAAGCCCCGGCCAACUUCGUGCCAGCCGCCGCCGUAACAC